UGUAGCAACCUUGGCUUCAUUGGUAUCGAUUUAACAUGUCGUCUUGACGUCCUAGCGUAGCCACAUCUCUGACAAAAACAUAGCAAAACCAAAAUUAUACACGAAGACGAAGCUGUAACUCUAUUGUUUCAAACUAGUGUGUAGAUAGUAGAUACUAAUUUGUGUGGGCGCGCGACUAAGUACUAAGUGGUCAUGUUUCCAGUGGCUGAAGACCUCGCUGUAAUUGUCCUGGGUAUAGACUGUGUAGAAGCACAUCGUACAGCAUAAGCUCGAUUUCAAUUCGAUUUCUCAGUUUCCGACGCUAUCGUGCCAUAAUUGGUGAAUUUCGUGUUUCUACUUCCUUACUGUGCAAAUAUGUAGUAUGAAUGCUGCGGCACAUUAAAGAUCAUAAUAUGUUCUAAAGGCGAAAGGAAGUUUUCACUGUCAUUCACCAGAAAGCAGAAAAAUCAGGACGAGUAAUUGUUGGAGUUAGAAAUUGAAAUGUACUGUACAUUUCAAAUUCUGUGAGGUGGAAUGAGUGACGACAUGGUUACGAUAUUGUAUAUAGUUGAAACAGGGUUGUCUCCCAUCUUGAUGGUAUCAUGGGUCAAAGCAGCAACCGGCCCAGCGUGGUCCGUGCUAACUCAACCACAUCUCACCGUCGCCACGCCAUCCACUGGGUGUCCGUGCUGACACCGCUGACUCCAUUGUGGUGGUUGACAUGCACCAUGUUGCUGACCUUGCCAACAUUGCUGCAACUCUCCACCCAGUGCUGGAAAGGCAAAUGUAAGUGUCGUGCACACUUGCAUCGUACUGUAAUUCUUUGGUGGAAGAUGGCAUUCUGGUCAAUAGACAACCAUGCCAAUGGUGACAUCAGGGCACCUAUGAAACGAGGUAAUGUUUGCCGGGUAGCCCCAUAUCCACAAUCUCUGUGUAUACAAGUCACAGACAGUGCAGUAUGGCUCAGAGAAGAUGCCUAAAAUACUCACUGAGAUGUAUCCUGAAGACCAGGGCAGGGCCGACCACGUGUGACGUCAGAAGAGCGGACUGUUGUUUGGCUUUAAGGGCACAACAGUAUCAUCUUAGUACUGCACAGCGACUGGCAUGUGAGUUCGCACCAUCCACUGGACGUGUUGUAGCAAGGAAAACAUUGUGCGGAAGUCUUCGGCAGAGUAGCCUUUGUCAGAGACCUACUGUACGUCUACCUCUUACGCAUCUUCACAGAAGGGAACGUCUAGAGUGGCAUCAACAACAUGCCAUGUGGACGGUAGAACAAGGGAGCAAUGUUGUUCACACAGAUAAGUCCCACUUUAGUCUGGUGAGUGCUUCACAAUGGAGUCACAUCUGAAGGGAACAUGGAACACUAUUUCGGGACCCAAACAUUGUGGAAAGAGACCGAUAUCGAGGAUCCAUAAUGGUGUGGGCAGGGAUUGUUGACCACUCGAACACCUCUUCAUGAAACUGUGCAGGGGAAUUGGAAAGGUUUAACUUGACACCUGUCAGGUAUCAUGAUGAGAUCUUGGGACCUUACCUGUGGUUGUUGUGAGGUGCUGUGGGCCUAGACUUCGUAUUGUUGGGCUGUAAUGCUUGACCUCAUAGAGCACAGAUGGUUUAUAUUUUUUGGGAAUGGAAGGUAUUGCACACAUGGUGUGGCCUGCUUGCUCUCCCAAUUUGAAUUCCAUAGAACAUGUCUGGGAUACACUAAGGAGACUGCGUCUGCUGAUACCUUGCCUUAAUAAACAAAUCGAAGAGUGGUAGAUGCAAUUAUGAAGAAAGACUUGGGAUUUUAUGUCUAAUAAAUAUUAAUUGUAUGUGUGUAAAUUGGUUGUAAUAGUACACAAUAAAUUUUUAAGUACUAAGA